rnacentral:rRNA from 1 species
GACGAACGCUGGCGGCGUGCUUAACACAUGCAGGUCGAACGGAAAGGCCCUGCUUUUGCGGGGUGCUCGAGUGGCGAACGGGUGAGUAACACGUGAGUAACCUGCCCUUGACUUUGGGAUAACUUCAGGAAACUGGGGCUAAUACCGGAUAGGAGCUCCUGCUGCAUGGUGGGGGUUGGAAAGUUUCGGCGGUUGGGGAUGGACUCGCGGCUUAUCAGCUUGUUGGUGGGGUAGUGGCUUACCAAGGCUUUGACGGGUAGCCGGCCUGAGAGGGUGACCGGCCACAUUGGGACUGAGAUACGGCCCAGACUCCUACGGGAGGCAGCAGUGGGGAAUAUUGCACAAUGGGCGGAAGCCUGAUGCAGCAACGCCGCGUGCGGGAUGACGGCCUUCGGGUUGUAAACCGCUUUCGCCUGUGACGAAGCGUGAGUGACGGUAAUGGGUAAAGAAGCACCGGCUAACUACGUG